rnacentral:rRNA from 1 species
ACCGACCUUCGGGAGCCUAUACAGGUGUUGCAUGGCUGUCGUCAGCUCGUGUCGUGAGAUGUUCGGUUAAGUCCGCUAACGAGCGCAACCCUCGUCGUAUGUUAUAUGUGUCAUACGAGACUGCCGGUAAAAGCCGGAGGAAGGUGAGGAUGAUGUCAAGUCAGCAUGACCUUUAUAUCCAGGGCUACACACACGCUACAAUGGUCUGUACAAUGGGUAGCCAAGCCGCGAGGCGGAGCCAAUCCUGAAAGCAGGCCUCAGUUCAGAUUGCAGUCUGCAACUCGACUGCAUGAAGCCGGAGUUGCUAGUAACCGCAGGUCAGCAAUACUGCGGUGAAUACGUUCCCGGGUCUU